UUUCUGUGAUUUAUUAUAAACAUGGUAAAUUAUAAUCACUUAGGACACACAUUUUUACAUCAUUUUUACUCAAAUGAUUCUUUCCUAGUUGCUUAGUACCGUGCUUUACAUACCAGCUCUCCUUUCCAGAGGCCAGAUUUUUACAGGACUCUUUUGUAAUUGGCAGCUGAUUCUCUUUGCAUGUGAUCAAAACAACACCGAGAUGUGAAAAAAUAACAAAUUUCCUCCCAAUUGCAGCCAUGUGUCUGGAAACUGUUUCCAAAUAAACCAAAUAUAUUUUUGGAGUUUACACAUAUCUUGUGACAUUGUUCCAGAAUGUCACUGUAGUCUAGCUCACACCUGAACAGUUUUGCAGAGGUCUUAUAUUCCCGUUUGAGUUGGACUUGUGCCCAGAUGCACCCAAGGGUAGGGUGCAGUAGGAUGAGGUCUGCUUUCAGUAAUACCAACUGCCAGUAAACUCAAGAGGCCUAUUCAAAAUAGAAACAGUUAAGCAGUGCAGCCACACAAAAUUUUCCUGGCAGGAAAGAAAAGGGGUACACAGGACUGCUACAUCAAUUUCAAACUAAAAAAGAUUUCCUCCACUGUGCUUAUUGGGAAUGAAGAUGUUGCAAUUAUUUGAUGACCUGGCUAAGGAGCAUUCACAGAAGAGACUGAUAAGAAGGAGCCAGCCUUCAUAGACAGUGCCUCUACAAUCAUGUGUGAUGACAAGAAACAACCCACGGAACAAUAUGUAUCAUCUUUCACUGUGUCUGUCGGGAGGUGCUUUAUUUGGGGAAAAAACAGAAAACAAACUCAACUAAAUAUAAUAGAGAGUCAUAACAUACAUUGUUAACCUGAAUAUGGGCAACAGAAAAAUACAUAAUAAAAACAAUGACCUCUUUUGUAGCAAAAGAGGGUUUGGGAGAAAGUUCCCUUCUUUUACUGUAGAAACUCAGCAAUGAUGUUCAGUGGUGAUGCUAGUCAGCAAAAAUAUUGAAAUACUGCUUAGUAUUGAAGCUUAAGAGAGAUACCACCACGAUCAGAAAGGAGCUGCAUUGUAACAUGCAAGAUUCCUCUAAUUUUUAUUAAUUCUAUAAAAUAUGAAAGUUAGAAAAUUACAAUGGAAGAAACUUCAUUUGCUAUACUUUCGUGGACAGAACAAAUCUUUUCUGAAGAGUGACUGACAGGUUUGUCUGCCUGGGUAGGGAAAUAUAUAUUAUCUGUUUUCCACUACCUCCUGUGUGCAAACACUUCAAAAAUAUUAGUCCGCAUGCACAAAGACACUCCAAGAUGAGGACAUGCCUUCCCCUUAAAGAGAGAGAUGGUGCAGAUCUCCUUAGGGAAGCUGUGAUCAGAAUCAAAAUGAAGCAGUCAGUCACUGCACAACACUAUAAAAAAGGUCCCAGCACCAGUUUUUCAGCUAAGGAACAGCAUUGCACCCCAGUAACUGUCUGCUGUCUUUGGUUCACUCUGAUUCUGUGCCAUCCUGUAACUGGCUGUAUGUAUUGUUUAGCAAAUGACAUUGUGUUCCACUGUGCACCAUUUUUCAUUAAAGAUCUGUCAUAAGGGAACACAGAGCUACUGCAAAAUAGCUAGCAGACCUAAAUUCAUACCAUUAAUGUGCAGUAAUUGCAUUGUAAACAAACUCUGUUUCAGACUGCUGCUCAUCUUACUAUUGACUUAUCAGUUUACAUACUCACUUUAAAGAAUGAUAGUUAUAACCUACCGUGGAGAACUUUCUGAUACAUUAUAAAUACCCAAGCUAAGUUUCUGACUACAUUACACUAGUGUGAAUUCAGUGACCCCAAUGGAAAAAGAAUUCCUCCAGAUUAAUCCUCAACAAGAGGUCAAAACCUUGAUUCUUUUCUUUUUCUACUGGCUUGGUUGUCUGUUUUUAACUGGGAAUGCUAUUUAUACAGAACACUAUUUAAAUACGGAAGGUUUAUGAUUAUGCUAUGCAGACUGAGACAGACAAAGAAAAUGAGAAUGCUUGGAACAAUGUACAGCAGGUUGCUGGGUAGAGGUGGGUGAUUCUGAAUUCUCUUCAUUUGGAACAGACCCAAUGUAACUCCAAAAAAUGUGAAUGCAUUUAUACAAGCUACAGA